rnacentral:rRNA from 1 species
UAGGGAAUAUUGCGCAAUGGAGGAAACUCUGACGCAGCGACGCCGCGUGGGUGACGAAGGUCUUCGGAUCGUAAAGCCCUGUCGGAAGGGAAGAAAAUUAGUAUGGCUAACAUCCAUACUACUUGACGGUACCUUUAAAGGAAGCACCGGCUAACUACGUGCCAGCAGCCGCGGUAAUACGUAGGGUGCUAGCGUUGUUCGGAAUCAUUGGGCGUAAAGCGCGUGUAGGCUGCUAGGUAAGUCGAUUGUGAAAUCCCUGGGCUCAACCGAGGAAGUGCAGUCGAAACUCCCUAGCUGGAAGACGGUAGAGGAAGGUGGAAUUCCAAGUGUAGAGGUGAAAUUCGUAGAUAUUUGGAGGAAUACCGGUGGCGAAGGCGGCCUUCUGGACCGCUCUUGACGCUGAGACGCGAAAGCGUGGGUAGCAAACAGG